CCCUUCCGUAGGUGAACCUGCGGAAGGAUCAUU
rnacentral:rRNA from 1 species